CUGAAGACUAUUCUUUCCUAAAGUUACAUGUGAACACCACAUUUAAGCUAUCUCGAACUUUAACCUCUCUAUUUCCUUAAGACAGAAAUUUGUUUUGUUGGUAUGAUGGGUGGACUUUAGCCUGAAAAGGCCCCAGGCAAUUGCCACCAAUCAACACUAAUGCAGCAUUCACCGUUUCCCAGCAGGUUUCCUAGCAGGGAUAUCCUCCUCAUCUGACUCAACAUCUCCAUACUCCCACAUUGCAAACCUCUUUUCUCGUGCUUCUGUUUGAUACUUCUCCAAUUCAUCCAGAGCCUGUUGUUUGUCCUUGGGCUCCCACCUCUUCCUUUUCUCCAUCCUAGCAAGUCCUUCCUGAAAAUUUUAUAGGUCCCUUGUUAUAACAC